CCUACGGGUAGCUGCAGUGAGGAAUAUUGGUCAAUGGGCGCGAGCCUGAACCAGCCAAGUAGCGUGAAGGAUGACUGCCCUACGGGUUGUAAACUUCUUUUAUAAAGGAAUAAAGUGAGGCACGUGUGCCCUUUUGUAUGUACUUUAUGAAUAAGGAUCGGCUAACUCCGUGCCAGCAGCCGCGGUAAUACGGAGGAUCCGAGCGUUAUCCGGAUUUAUUGGGUUUAAAGGGAGCGUAGAUGGGUUGUUAAGUCAGUUGUGAAAGUUUGCGGCUCAACCGUAAAAUUGCAGUUGAUACUGGCAGUCUUGAGUACAGUUGAGGUAGGCGGAAUUCGUGGUGUAGCGGUGAAAUGCUUAGAUAUCACGAAGAACUCCGAUCGCGAAGGCAGCCUACCGGCGCGCAACUGACGCUCAUGCACGAAAGCGUGGGUAUCGAACAGGAUUAGAUACCCUAGUAGUC
rnacentral:rRNA from 1 species